rnacentral:rRNA from 1 species
UACAGAGGUCUCAAGCGUUGUUCGGAUUCAUUGGGCGUAAAGGGUGCGUAGGUGGCGAGGCAAGUCAGAUGUGAAAUCUCAGGGCUCAACCCUGAAACUGCACUUGAUACUGCGUGGCUCGGGUACUGGAGAGGAGACUGGAAUUUACGGUGUAGCAGUGAAAUGCGUAGAUAUCGUAAGGAAGACCAGUGGCGAAGGCGAGUCUCUGGACAGUUACCGACGCUGAGGCACGAAGGUCAGGGGAGCAAACGGG